rnacentral:rRNA from 1 species
AUGGCGACGCAGGACGAUGCAAGCAGAUCAAGGGGCAAGAGCUCGGAAGACCCUAGUAGCCUCCUGGAGAGGCUACACCUUGAAGAGGACGAGCUUGAUAACCUUGUUUGGGAAGAAGAAGUAGAGGAACCGGAAGAAAAGCCCAAGUGGUUGGCGCUGGCUAGGGUUUUGACAAAGAAAUCUUUCAGUCAAGGGGCCUUGAUAGAAGACAUGAAGUUGACAUGGAAUCCCGCCAGAGAGGUGGUGUGGCACAGAAUUAAUCCAAAUUUGUUCUCUAUUCAGUUCAAUUGUUUGGCUGAUUGGAACAAAGCAAUCCAUCAAGGUCCUUGGGACUUUAAAGAAAAGGCGCUGAUGAUUGCAGAAUAUGAUGGGUUCAAGAACCCUGAAACGGUGAAACUUGACAGGAUCGAGACAUGGUGUCAGAUUCAUAUGGUCACUGACAUGGUUCUAAAAAGGGAGCAAUUUGUCAAAAACAUGGCAGCAAGAGUUGGAGAGGUGACGGACCUUCAGAUCGUUCUCCCUAAUGGAUUUGUUGGUGAGUUCAUCAGAGCUAGAGUUAAGCUAGAUGUCAACAAGAAAUUGACUAGAUUUGUCGGUUUCACAAAGGCAAGAGAGACUAAAUUCUAUCAAGUCAAGUUUGAAAAGUUGCCGGUAUUUUGCUACAUGUGUGGCUUGUUGGGCCACUGGCAUGAAUAG